rnacentral:lncRNA from 10 species
CCUGCAUAAUCCCACAAACGAACAUAAAGUUAACCAUCUUACAGUUACAGAGGCCCGACGUCCACAGUUAGCCUCAGCCAGGCUGAAGUCACAGUGUCAGCACGGCUGGCUCGUUCUGGAGCUCCUGGGAGACGUGGCUCCCUUGCCUUUCCCAGCUCCUAGAGGCAUCAUGAGUUCCUUGGCUUAUGGUCCCAUAGCACAUGGACUUCUGCUUCUGUGGCCACAUCUCCAUCUUUGACUCUGGCCCUCCAGAGUCCCUCUUUUGAGGACUCCUGUGAUUACAUUACCAGAGCCACGUUGUAAGGGAAGCAUGGCACCAGCAUCUGCUUCUGAUGAGGGCCUCAGGAAGCUUCCCAUCAUGGCAUAUGGCAAAGAGGGAGCAAGCAAAUCAU